AACGAACGCUGGCGGCAUGCCUAACACAUGCAAGUCGAACGAGACCUUCGGGUCUAGUGGCGCACGGGUGCGUAACGCGUGGGAACCUGCCCUUAGGUUCGGAAUAACUCCCCGAAAGGGGUGCUAAUACCGGAUGAUGUCUUCGGACCAAAGAUUUAUCGCCUUUGGAUGGGCCCGCGUUGGAUUAGCUAGUUGGUAGGGUAAAAGCCUACCAAGGCGACGAUCCAUAGCUGGUCUGAGAGGAUGAUCAGCCACACUGGGACUGAGACACGGCCCAGACCCCUCCGGGGGGAAGCAGGGGGGAAAAUUGGACAAGGGGCGAAACCCUGAUCCCGCAAGGCCGGGGGAGUUAGGAAGGCCUUAGGGUUGUAAAGCUUUUUUACCCGGGAUGAUAAUGACAGUACCGGGAGAAUAAGCCCCGGCUAACCCCGU
rnacentral:rRNA from 1 species